rnacentral:rRNA from 1 species
CCUACGGGUGGCAGCAGUGAGGAAUAUUGGUCAAUGGGCGCGAGCCUGAACCAGCCAAGUCGCGUGAGGGAAGACGGUCCUAUGGAUUGUAAACCUCUUUUGUCGGGGAGCAAAAGACGCCACGCGUGGCGUUCCGAGAGUACCCGAAGAAAAAGCAUCGGCUAACUCCGUGCCAGCAGCCGCGGUAAUACGGAGGGUGCAAGCGUUACUCGGAAUCACUGGGCGUAAAGAGUGCGCAGGCGGGCUUGUAAGUCAGAUGUGAAAUCCUGUAGCUUAACUACAGAACUGCAUUUGAAACUAUGAGUCUAGAGUGUGGGAGAGGUAGGUGGAAUUCUUGGUGUAGGGGUAAAAUCCGUAGAUAUCAAGAGGAAUACUCAUUGCGAAGGCGACCUACUGGAACAUUACUGACGCUCAUGCACGAAAGCGUGGGGAGCAAACAGGAUUAGAUACCCCAGUAGUC